rnacentral:rRNA from 1 species
AUUGAACGCUGGCGGCAGGCCUAACACAUGCAAGUCGAGCGGAUGAAGGGAGCUUGCUCCUGGAUUCAGCGGCGGACGGGUGAGUAAUGCUUAGGAAUCUGCCUGGUAGUGGGGGAUAACGUCCGGAAACGGGCGCUAAUACCGCAUACGUCCUGAGGGAGAAAGUGGGGGAUCUUCGGACCUCACGCUAUCAGAUGAGCCUAGGUCGGAUUAGCUAGUUGGUGGGGUAAAGGCCUACCAAGGCGACGAUCCGUAACUGGUCUGAGAGGAUGAUCAGUCACACUGGAACUGAGACACGGUCCAGACUCCUACGGGAGGCAGCAGUGGGGAAUGUUGGACAAUGGGCGAAAGCCUGAUCCAGCCAUGCCGCGUGUGUGAAGAAGGUCUUCGGAUUGUAAAGCACUUUAAGUUGGGAGGAAGGGCAGUAAGUUAAUACCUUGCUGUUUUGACGUUACCAACAGAAUAAGCACCGGCUAACUUCGUG